GCGGUGGUGGUUCGGUGGUAGAACUUUUGCCUUCCAUGCACGAGACCCAGGUUUAUUUCUUGGCCAGCGUA
rnacentral:tRNA from 1 species